AGGGGCGUAGCUCAGUGCUAGAGCACUUGCUUAGUAUGCACAAGGCCCUGGGUUCAAUCCCUAGCACCGCUU
rnacentral:tRNA from 1 species